GGUGAAUGUUUUCACCUCCCUUCAGCUUGUGUCUGUUUCUGUGUGUUUCACAGCUGUAUUGUACAGCUCUCCUAUGAAAUGACAGAAAUGCGUUAGAAGAUCUGUGAUGAUUAUUUUUGUCUAUAUCAGAAACAUCCUUCGGGUUUUGUUUGAGUGCAAUUCACAGGAAGCUCCUCCCAGAGUUGGGAGAGCUGAACUUUAGGACCUAUAUAUCAUCCAUUUCCCUGAAUUUCUGUAAAGAUUAAAUACAGUUGUACUUCACAGUUUCUUACUUGAACUUAGGUUUAUGUUUUACUUAUAUCAAUACCUUAGAAGAUCAUCAUCAGCAAGCAGAACAUCACACGUGACAACAUGAUAUGCUAUUGAUCAGUGUCUUCCCCUACCCCACCAAGAACAGUAAAGCUAGUAGGAUUAAAAUGGAAUUUUCCCACUUUACAAACAUUGUAAGUUCAUACUUGUGAUAUUAAUCAUCAGAGAAAAAAUGUUUCAGGUACUUUAGAACAAUUUCAUUACACUGGUUUGGCCAAAGUGACAUUUUUCAAAAAGGAAUAAAGAUAAAAUAUACACAGCCAAAUACAAAUCUAGUAGAACCCAUGGCACACCCUGACUUGUGUUAAAUGCUGGAGAAGGUGGGUGACUUCAUAGAGCUAACUGUACUUUUUCUGUUGUUUUUCUUUUCUUCUGGAAUGUCACUGAGUAUUGAGAACAAAAAGGGGGGGUCUGGGGGGUCUGAGGAAGAAGCAGGGGAGAAAUAUUCCAUGUCCAUCCAGAGUUCCUGUGGUCUGGGCAGGCAGACACGGGAGGACUGCCGAACUCUUUCCACUAGGCCUCGGUGGGCAUCUAAGCCUCUGACCCCACUUGGUGGGGGGUGGACUAGGGGCAUCCCCUGACAGGGGACCCCUGUAGCUCCAGGAUUAUAGGAGAGAGGGAAUAGGGGAAGAGGUUCCCAACACUGACCAGAGUGUGGGGGAACUUGAUGGAGCAGAGACUCUGUAUGGUUAAAGAGCUUUAUUAUAGAGAUGCAGGGAGAAAGAGAGAAGAUAGAAAAGGGGAGAGAGAGAGAGAGAGAGAGAGAGAGAGAGAGAGAGAGAGAGAGAGAGAGAAGGUGAGAGAGAAAGAGUGUAAGAAGGAGAGAGGAGAGGAGAAGACAAAGAGAAAGGAGAGAAGAAAGAAGG
rnacentral:lncRNA from 1 species